CCUACGGGAGGCAGCAGUGAGGAAUAUUGGUCAAUGGGCGGGAGCCUGAACCAGCCAAGUCGCGUGAGGGAAGACGGUCCUAUGGAUUGUAAACCUCUUUAGGCGGGGAGCAAUGACGGGCACGCGUGCACGGAGGGAGAGUACCCGCAGAAUAAGCAUCGGCUAACUCCGUGCCAGCAGCCGAGGUAAUACCGGGGAUGCGAGCGUUAUCCGGAUUUAUGGGGGUUAAUGGGGGCGUAGGGGGUCCGGAAAGUCCGCGGUAAAAGCCCGGGGCUCAACCCCGGCGAGCCGUGGAAACUGUCGGACUAGAGACGGCGAGAAGUACGCGGAAUGCGAGGUGUAGCGGUGAAAUGCAUAGAUAUCGGGCAGAACUCCGAUGGCGAAGGCAGCGUACCGGCGCCGGACUGACGCUGAGGCACGAAAGCGUGGGUAUCGAACAGGAUUAGAUACCAGGGUAGUC
rnacentral:rRNA from 1 species